GGCUCUGUGGUGCAAUGGAUAGCGCAUUGGACUUCUAGGCUAUGAGCUGAGCCAUUCAAAGGUUGUGGGUUCGAGUCCCACCAGAGUUG
rfam:Danio rerio chromosome 4, GRCz11 reference primary assembly.